rnacentral:rRNA from 1 species
GACGAACGCUGGCGGCGUGCUUAACACAUGCAAGUCGAGCGGUAAGGCCCUUUCGGGGGUACACGAGCGGCGAACGGGUGAGUAACACGUGGGUGACCUGCCCUUAGCUCUGGGAUAAGCCUGGGAAACUGGGUCUAAUACCGGAUAUGACUCCAUGACGCAUGUUGUGGGGUGGAAAGCCUUGUGCGGCUAGGGAUGGGCCUGCGGCCUAUCAGCUUGUUGGUGGGGUNAUGGCCUACCAAGGCGACGACGGUAGCCGGCCUGAGAGGGCGACCGGCCACACUGGGGACUGAGACACGGCCCAGACUCCUACGGGAGGCAGCAGUGGGGAAUCUUGCGCAAUGGGCGAAAGCCUGACGCAGCGACG